rnacentral:rRNA from 1 species
AUUGUACGUUGGCGGCAGGCCUAACACAUGCAAGUCGAGCGAGCGGCGGACGGGUGAGUAAUGUCUGGGAAACUGCCUGAUGGAGGGGGAUAACUACUGGAAACGGUAGAUAAUACCGCAUACCAUCAGAUGUGCCCAGAUGGGAUUAGUUAGUAGGUGGGGUAACGGAUCACCUAGGCGACGAUCCCUAGCUGGUCUGAGAGGCUGACCAGCCAAACUGGAACUGAGACACGGGGCAGCGUCCUACGGGAGGCAGCAGUGGGGAAUAUUGCACAAUGGGCGAAAGCCUGAUGCAGCCAUGCCGCGUGUGUAAAGAAUGCCUGCGGGUUGUAAAGCACUUUCAGCGGGGAGGCGUUACCCGCAGAAGAAGCACCGGCUAACUCCGUGCCAGCAGCGGCGGUAAUU